rnacentral:pre_miRNA from 1 species
UUGGUAUUUCCUCCGUCCGGAAUUACUUGUCGCACAAAUAUAUAAAAAUAGAUGUAUCUAAAACUAAAAUACAUCUAGAUACAUCCAUUCUUAUGACAAGUAUUUUCAGACGAAGGAAGUAUUAA